ACAGGGGGUUUAUUUCUAAACCUUCAAAACAAAGAUCCUGUGUUUUGACUGAAUAUCAGGAAGGUGCUAUUUUAAGCUCCACAUGACAAAGUUGACUUUUUAAGAAUAGGGCUUUUUUAAAUUUACCCUUAAAAUGGUAUCAUAUAAAGAACAGUUAGGUUUUCUGUGGUGGCAUUUUACCUAUAGGGUUUGUUUAUGGAUCUCUUACCACCCUUUCUUAUGGCCUAAGAUGUAUGUUGGGGUCUGUCAUAAUGUACGUUUCUCCGUGUAAGUUUUGUCCAGCAACUUCUGUUAUCUUGGACAUUGAUUUAACAGUGGGUUUUGUUUGUUUGUUUUUUGGUUUUUUUUCUCAUCAGUUCUAGUGUCUUCCAUUUACUCCAAGGUUUAAUGAAUUUCACUCAUGUUCCUGUGGAAUAUUGCUGGAACACUUGUGAAGAGAGCUAUAAAAAAGCAAAGUGGGCAAUAUUGGGUAGAACAAAGCUCACCAGAAUUUACUAGCUGUAUCAGGUGAGAACAUCACCAUUGCUUGAUUUAAAUGUGAAGAAGAGUAUUACCUCCUUUUUACUUCCCCAAUGAUGCAUUGUUGGGGUAUACAGACACAGAUGAGUUCGUUUUUGAAACAAGCAUCGUAAGGCCCGGGUUCAUAAUGUAUUCCAAUACACAAUGGUUCUUCAUCUUGUCUGUUUUUAUUUUUUACCAUUAUUUUCCACUUUAGGAAGCAAUAGGAGGAGAGCUUGAGAGCUGUACUUGAACACAGAUGGUAUGAUGGCACAGCAUUUGCUGCAACUUGCUUCAAGUUAUGUUACAGAGUUCAUUUUUAACAUAAGCUUUAAACCUUUAUUUUGUAGAAAAGUCUCAUGGAAAUGGCAACCACCCAAAUAUAGACUAUACGUUUUCAGAGGUACUUGAAUAUUUUGCGGUAACAUGAUGAAAAAUUAACUGAUACAGGAAUAAUUAUAAUCCUUAAAAGUGCAUAAAGAAUCCAGACUGGAGCAUACGUUAGAUGAAGCACAAGAAGCAAGAUGGAUGGUGCCGAAACAGGCGUGCUUUGCCCUGGGAUGCGUGAAGGCGGUUGGUCACCUGCUCUGCUGGGAGCACCGACUGAACAUGGGUCCUCCAGAUCUGGAAAUAUGAGUUUGAGUGAAUUUAAUAUGGUUUUGAUAAAUUAACUGUGCAUCGGUCUUAUCCCGAUCCUCCAGACAGGACUGAAUUACACCCUGAAUUCCUGAAUCUGGAGUAAUUCUGUUGGUUUAUAGAUGAAAACAGUUUUUUUCUUUUUGCAAACAAUAGCCAUUGGGAUUUGGGAACUUGGAACUCUUUUUAGCUUGUAUUCAUUUCCGUUAUGUGUAACUGCUCUUGACUGAGCAAGAUAAUACUUAAAAAGUGUUACCAGAAGAGACAGGAUGUCUUGAAGCAAACUUGAGACUAACAUCAUUCUAUUAUACCUACUUUGAUUUAUUUUUGGACUUAUUUUUUAUUUAUUUGCGCUUACUAGCUAAUGUUAUUUUAAUGUUGAUUGUCAGGAAAAAGGCUCCAUAAUGUCUUGUUUCAAAUCAGUUCUGCCACUCAAUUUCAGAGCUUCUUGUCUUGUAUGCAUUUAUCCUCAGCUUGUCUCUUAUUUUUUAAAUGAUAAAUUAUUUAUUUUCUUUACAUUCUUUAGAAAUAUACCAUAGCUGUUAGAGUUGAAGGCAUCCGAAAAAAUGCUAAGGUGCAAGUUACAGGUCUCAUAGGGUACACCCUGAGGAUUUCUGGAGGACCUCAAAAAUGAAAUAGCGUAGCUGCUAUAGGAUACACGCAAACUCUCACUGUAAACAUUUGCCACUAAAAGGAUCAAUGGGUAAUGUAUUGAACCUGUAUUUUUACAAGGUAAUCCAAGGAAUUAUUCAUACAGUGAAUUGUGUAUUAGAUGAUCAUCUAAAGUUAAAAAUGGAAUGAUACAGCACCUCAAAGGUCAUUUUAUGAGGUGGUCUAAGAAAUUACAAUGUCUAGAGUAGAAAAAUCUCAUUAAUCUCUUACUGGUAUCUGAGUGGUUCAAUAGAGGUAAGGGUGAAGGAGAACUUACUAAUAUAUUUUAUUUAGAUUUUCACAAGCCCUUGGUAAAAUUAUCACAGCAGGUUACUAAAGAAAUUCAAGAUGUAGCUUUACAAGGGCAACUUAGGCCCCUAAAUAUAUAUUUAAGUAACUUUAUUCAAGUUAUAGGCAUUAAUAGCAUUUCUAAUCUUGAAGGUUUGCUUAAUGCAGUAGGAACUUAAAUUUUCCACUGGUAAAAUCACUCAGUUCCCUUGUUUUUGCUGCCGAGCAUGUGCAAAACCAUCUUGACAGCUCCAGGCUGCUAAGCCCCGAAGAAAUACAUAAAAUAAGCAUUUUCUUGCAAGUUUCCUCACAACUGCCUGUCAACUUCAGUUUUGCAUCCCAGCAACCAAUUUCAACUAAUUUUAUUUUAUACUGACUACAUUUAUCACAAUUUAUUUUAUAUUCUUCAUAGGAUAUUGAAAGAGGCUCUCAGGGCCACAGAUUGCUGCUGAAAUGUUAGACAACAUUUGGCAUGAGCAGGAUCAGAAAUUAAAAACUGGCAUUUUUUAGCCUGGUUGCCUUUGAAAUGAGGUUUAUGAGAUUGUGUUGUUUAUCUCUCUGUACAUUCAGCAAUUCCCCUUAAAAACUUUGGGACCCAAUUUCAACCAAAUUUGAAAGAUGAGCUGAAAUCUCAAAAUAAAUAAGGUCUGUGAAAAACUGCAGCUGUACAGAGGACAAAGCGCGUAAUUAAAUGCCUGCGCUUUGGAAAAGGCAGGUGGAAGCCAGCCUUUAUAUAGUAGUUGAGAGCCGCCAGCCUGCCAGAGUAUGCUCAAAGAUUUUUGAUUGAGCAUAGCGUGUGCCCUAUAUGGAGAGUGGGUUUCAGAAGAGAACCUGAGGUUGUUAUGGCAGAGAAGAUUCAGGAGACAAAGAACACAAGUUCUUCCUCAAGAUGGAUACCUUAUCUAGCAUGGAAAGUUUUUGUAGUUCUCUGGUCAAUUCUCUAAACAGGACACAAUUGAGCUGAUGUCAAAACAAAGAAUACACACAUGCAUAGUACUGGGCUGUGAUAAAAGCUGCUCUUCUGCACAACUUCCCAGCUUGUGAAACCUGUCUGGUUUUGCAUAAUAGAUAAGCCCCAGGAAGUAUAAAAUUAGGGGGAGUGCUUGCAGUGUGGCCAAGUUACAGUUUUACAGUCGUUUAAAGGUCAGCAGCAAAUUGCCAUCUACACCCAGUCCUGCAGGAUAAGGCUCUGUAGGGACAAAGCUCUCACGCAAAUAUCCGCAUGAUUUGCCUGUGGCCAUUUGGAAAACCUGCGGCUGAAGAAGGGGCUGAGAUCCCACCCUGUCACUUGCAAGCCAGGGUCAGAGUUACCAAGCCAAUCUUUCUUGUCAUUUAUCUAGGGCAGACUUUGAAACCUAAACCUCGAGGAAAGAUUUUUGAAGCAAAAACUCCAGGCCUAAGGUCUCACAGGGCAGGUACUCUUUUUCCCCCAACUUCUGGAUUCUCUGUUUCUUAUUACUUAACAGAAAACGAGAUUUUGAUGAGAAGAAAAUUAAACUGCUGAAGGAGACUACCAAGUUUAUGGAUGUUAUUAUCUCAUAAAUAGUUAAUGUCUCACUUCUCAGUUAAACUUUUUUUUUUUUUCAAACUUGGCAAGCUUCUGGUGAGGAUAAUAAAGAGUGCAUCUAGGCUGUAACCAAAUGAUCUCCAUGAUAUGAUAAGCAGCAUGCAAGCAGCAAUAAUAGCAGUAGACUAACUUCAGAAUGCUGUGAGUUCCUCUGAACUUCACCAACAGAUUUGUUGAUCAGCUCCAGAUUCUGCAAUGUCAUUUUUCUUCUUCAACAGAAAAACUGUCACCAGAGCUGGUUACAGCUCACGCCUGCAAAUGCAAAAAGUUGUAUGGAGACAACAGUGCACAGGAAGACUUGCUAGGCCAUGGAUUAACAUGUGUACCAGCGCCAAUUUUCAGAGAAGAUGGUUUGCACAAGGAAAGCUCAGAACUCAAAAGCAGAGAUUGGGUGCUCUUCUAAGAAUAGGUGGAGGGACAAGAUUUGGGGAAAAAAACUAAACCCAAAAAACCUGCUGUAGAAAAUGCUCCACCUGCUGUGAAAACAAAAAGGAAGGAGGGUAGUAAAAGAAGUAUGAAGCGUAUCUAGUUUCAGAAUGUGGCUGAAGAAAAAGGAGCAGUAAAAAUCACUACUACAGAUGAAAUCCAUAGAUAGUCUUAAAGGAUGGAAAGAUCUGUACUGCAUCCUGCAACUAUCGGAAAGCACAUGGGGUGUGUGGUGGGUGUUAAUAGGCAGAUUAUAAGACAAGGUGGAGAUUCAGACGUGUCCAGCUAGACCUAUGGUUGAUGUUCAGGUAGGAAGUUCUUGAAAUGUCCUGAACUCCACAGAGCAUGCUUAAAUCCAUGAGUCAGUGUGGUAUAUGCUACAGCUACUCAGCACUGACCAGGAAGCUCUCCGAACUAUUUGUUUGCUCCAUCUCCUACAGAUAGCUGGUGAUGAGGCAAACACAGUUAGGAGUUCUCUUUCUGAUGAAACUUUUAAGCUCGUGGCGCACAGGCACUUGAUCUGCAAUACCAGACGUAUGCCUCAAACAGCUGGACGCAAACGCGGGAAGGAGUUUUCCUGCAGGUUCUUGGGUAACGAGCUAGGCUGACAUACCUGUACCUCAGCUGUAAAUGAAGCCUCUCCUGGCACUUGUGCAGCGUGCCACUCCCAGGAAGAUUUGGGAGUUUGCUAGGCAUGUCCUGCCUCUGGCUCACGCGGUCCCUGGCACCACUCCGAUACCCACAGAACAAUUUCUAUCAUCUCCAGCAUAUCACCUCUCCAAGUAAGUAAGGCAUAGAAGCUCAAAGGAUGUUCAGAGGGCUCUUCAAUACAUUCAUUUGGAUAUACACAGCAUUAAAACACUCUUUUUCUAUGCCUUGGUGCUUUGCCACCAACCAAAAAUUCUGCCCCCCUCCUCCCCCCCACCAUGAUCUUCCUCCCACAGACCAGCCUUGCUGGUGAUUUUGGCCUGCUCCUCACUUCCCCAAGCACUCCCCAGCGAGCUUCUUGCUCUGACAAAUUCUCCCUUGGCAACAAUAGCUCCUGCUGGGUUCCUCCCAGUCUGUGGUCAUGGCUACUGGGGUGUGAAGUGUUCUGCCCACCUGAGUCAGAAAUGCUCGGCAGCUCCGCUUGACAGCUUAACAAAGAGCAAGUCAUCAGUUGAAUUGUACCCAGCCAUCGGGACUGUCUCAGUGGAAAGGGCUGGAUGUAAGAAUACCUGGCCCGAACGCUGUAAACUCUCAAAUUAUUUUUUCAGCUCUUACAACCUGCAAACUGCUUCAAAUUUAUGAAUCCAUCCUGCACGUAAUUUAAAAGUGCAUUUUCUUCAGAGAAAAAAUA